GAUGAGGCAGAGGUGUUUAUAAUUUUUGGCUUUUUAGUAUAAUUAUGGUAUAUUUG
rnacentral:tRNA from 1 species